rnacentral:tRNA from 1 species
GGGAUUGUGGCUCAGUGGUAGAGCGCUCAUCUAGCACGUGAGAGGCGCUAGGUUGAAUCCUCAGCACCA